rnacentral:rRNA from 1 species
GACGAACGCUGGCGGCGUGCUUAACACAUGCAAGUCGAACGGAAAGGCCCUUCUUUUGUGGGGUGCUCGAGUGGCGAACGGGUGAGUAACACGUGAGUAACCUGCCCUUGACUUUUGGAUAACUUCAGGAAACUGGGGCUAAUACCGGAUAGGAGCUCCUGCUGCAUGGUGGGGGUUGGAAAGUUUCGGCGGUUGGGGAUGGACUCGCGGCUUAUCAGCUUGUUGGUGGGGUAGUGGCUUACCAAGGCUUUGACGGGUAGCCGGCCUGAGAGGGUGACCGGACACAUUGGGACUGAGAUACGGCCCAGACUCCUACGGGAGGCAGCAGUGGGGAAUAUUGCACAAUGGGCGGAAGCCUGAUGCAGCAACGCCGCGUGCGGGAUGACGGCCUUCGGGUUGUAAACCGCUUUCGCCUGUGACGAAGCGUGAGUGACGGUAAUGGGUAAAGAAGCACCGGCUAACUACGUG